rnacentral:tRNA from 1 species
GGUAGGGUGGCCGAAGGCCUAGGCAGUGGGUUGUAGCCCCUCGAACAAAGGUUUAAGUCCUUUUCCUACC